rnacentral:rRNA from 1 species
GGGGAAGUAUUGCAUCAAUGGGGAAAGGACCCUGAUGCAGCCAUGCCGCGUGUAUGAAGAAGGCCUUAGGGUUGUAAAGUACUUUCGGUGAUGAGGAAGGUACUUGGUCUAAUAGGCCAAGUAAUUGACGUUAAUUACAGAAGAAGCACCGGCUAACUCCGUGCCAGCAGUCGCGGUAAUACGGAGGGUGCGAGCGUUAAUCGGAAUGACUGGGCGUAAAGGGCAUGUAGGCGGAUGAUUAAGUUAGGUGUGAAAUCCCCGAGCUCAACUUGGGAAUUGCAUUUAAAACUGGUCGUCUAGAGUAUUGUAGAGGAAGGUAGAAUUCCACGUGUAGCGGUGAAAUGCGUAGAGAUGUGGAGGAAUACCGGUGGCGAAGGCGGCCUUCUGGACAGAUACUGACGCUGAGAUGCGAAAGCGUGGGGAGCAAAACA